CUGGCGGCGUGCCUAUACAUGCAAGUCGAGCGAGCUUGCCUAGAUGAUUUUAGUGACUGCACUAAAUGAAACUAGAUACAAGCGAGCGGCGGACGGGUUGAGUAACACGUGGGUAACCUGCCCAAGAGACUGGGAUAACACCUGGAAACAGAUGCUAAUACCGGAUAACAACACUAGACGCAUGUCUAGAGUUUGAAAGAUGGUUCUGCUAUCACUCUUGGAUGGACCUGCGGUGCAUUAGCUAGUUGGGUAGGGAUGUGUCUUACCAAGGCGAUGAUGCAUAGCCGAGUUGAGAGACUGAUCGGCCACAUUGGGACUGAGACACGGCCCAAACUCCUACGGGAGGCAGCAGUAGGGAAUCUUCCACAAUGGACGAAAGUCUGAUGGAGCAACGCCGCGUGAGUGAAGAAGGGUUUCGGCUCGUAAAGCUCUGUUGGUAGUGAAGAAAGAUAGAGGUAGUAACUGGCCUUUAUUUGACGGUAAUUACUUAGAAAGUCACGGCUAACUACGUGCCAGCAGCCGCGGUAAUACGUAGGUGGCAAGCGUUGUCCGGAUUUAUUGGGCGUAAAGCGAGUGCAGGCGGUUCAUAAGUCUGAUGUGAAAGCCUUCGGCUCAACCGGAGAAUUGCAUCAGAAACUGUUGAACUUGAGUGCAGAAGAGGAGAGUGGAACUCCAUGUGUAGCGGUGGAAUGCGUAGAUAUAUGGAAGAACACCAGUGGCGAAGGCGGCUCUCUGGUCUGCACUGACGCUGAGCUCGAAAGCAUGGGUAGCGAACAGGAUUAGAUACCCUGGUAGUCCAUGCCGUAAACGAUGAGUGCUAAGUGUUGGGAGGUUUCCGCCUCUCAGUGCUGCAGCUAACGCAUUAAGCACUCCGCCCUGGGGAGUACGACCGCAAGGUGAACUCAAAGGAUGACGGG
rnacentral:rRNA from 1 species